CGAAGAACCUUACCUGGUCUUGACAUCCACGGAAGUUUUCAGAGAUGAGAAUGUGCCUUCGGGAACCGUGAGACAGGUGCUGCAUGGCUGUCGUCAGCUCGUGUUGUGAAAUGUUGGGUUAAGUCCCGCAACGAGCGCAACCCUUACCCUUUGUUGCCAGCGGUCCGGCCGGGAACUCAAAGGAGACUGCCAGUGAUAAACUGGAGGAAGGUGGGGAUGACGUCAAGUCAUCAUGGCCCUUACGACCAGGGCUACACACGUGCUACAAUGGCGCAUACAAAGAGAAGCGACCU
rnacentral:rRNA from 1 species